GGAGAGUUGACAGAGCGGCCGAAUGUACUGGUCUUGAAAACCAGCGAAGGUUUAUCCCUUCCCAGGGUUCGAAUCCCUGACUCUCCGCCA
rnacentral:tRNA from 1 species